rnacentral:rRNA from 1 species
UGGGGAGCAAACAGGAUUAGAUACCCUGGUAGUCCACGCCGUAAACGAUGUCUACUUGGAGGUUGUGCCCUUGAGGCGUGGCUUCCGGAGCUAACGCGUUAAGUAGACCGCCUGGGGAGUACGGCCGCAAGGUUAAAACUCAAAUGAAUUGACGGGGGCCCGCACAAGCGGUGGAGCAUGUGGUUUAAUUCGAUGCAACGCGAAGAACCUUACCUGGUCUUGACAUCCACAGAACUUUCCAGAGAUGGACUGGUGCCUUCGGGAACUGUGAGACAGGUGCUGCAUGGCUGUCGUCAGCUCGUGUUGUGAAAUGUUGGGUUAAGUCCCGCAACGAGCGCAACCCUUAUCCUUUGUUGCCAGCGGUCCGGCCGGGAACUCAAAGGAGACUGCCAGUGAUAAACUGGAGGAAGGUGGGGAUGACGUCAAGUCAUCAUGGCCCUUACGACCAGGGCUACACACGUGCUACAAUGGCGCAUACAAAGAGAAGCGACCUCGCGAGAGCAAGCGGACCUCAUAAAGUGCGUCGUAGUCCGGAUUGGAGUCUGCAACUCGACUCCAUGAAGUCGGAAUCGCUAGUAAUCGUGGAUCAGAAUGCCACGGUGAAUACGUUCCCGGGCCUUGUACACACCGCCCGUCACACCAUGGGAGUGGGUUGCAAAAGAAGUAGGUAGCUUAACCUUCGGGAGGGCGCUUACCACUUUGUGAUUCAUGACUGGGGUGAAGUCGUAACAAGGUAACCGUAGGGGAACCUGCGGUUGGAUCACCUCCUUACCUUAAAGAAGC